AGAGCGAACGCUGGCGGCAGGCCUAAUACAUGCAAGUCGAACGGAUCCUUCGGGAUUAGUGGCGGACGGGUGAGUAACACGUGGGAACGUGCCCUUUGGUUCGGAACAACUCAGGGAAACUUGAGCUAAUACCGAAUGUGCCCUUCGGGGGAAAGAUUUAUCGCCAUUGGAGCGGCCCGCGUCUGAUUAGCUAGUUGGUGAGGUAAAGGCUCACCAAGGCGACGAUCAGUAGCUGGUCUGAGAGGAUGAUCAGCCACACUGGGACUGAGACACGGCCCAGACUCCUACGGGAGGCAGCAGUAGGGAAUCUUGCGCAAUGGGCGAAAGCCUGACGCAGCCAUGCCGCGUGAAUGAUGAAGGUCUUAGGAUUGUAAAAUUCUUUCAGCGGGACGAUAAUGACGGUACCCGCAGAAGAAGCCCCGGACUAACUUCGUGCCAGCAGCCGC
rnacentral:rRNA from 1 species